AGAAUAUUUUCCAUUGAUUCUUCUCGUGGUCGUUUAGGGCUUUCACUUGUUGACUCACUUUCAGUUUUAUACGGAUAAAUAUUUUCAAAAAACUCUGCAUUAUCUUAUUCAAUUAUCGUAUUAACAUGAAUCUCAGGAUUAUCAGAUUUGUGAACCAAAAAUCGACAAGCUUUACUAUUCACAGCAUACCCAAUAAAGACACAAUCUAUUGUUUUGGGUCCAAUUUUAACCCUCUUAGGUAAAGGAACCUCUACCUUGG
rnacentral:misc_RNA from 1 species